rnacentral:lncRNA from 1 species
AGGGUUUUUGAUAGGAGUAUCCUUCCUCAUUGAGAUGAGGUCCCUUGUGUCUUUGAUGUAGUUUGUUUUUCAUUUAUCACUGGUGUAGUUCGUCGCUUUCCCUUUUCAUCUCUUUUUUUUUGUGUUCGAGUGAGGGUUUUUCCUCUGCUCUUAACGGGGUCGUGAGAGCGUAGAGGAGCCGUUGAGGAGGCUUUCCUCCUCAUC